GAAUCUUGCACAAUGGGGGAAACCCUGAUGCAGCGACGCCGCGUGAGCGAUGAAGCCCUUCGGGGUGUAAAGCUCUUUCGGCAGGAACGAUAAUGACGGUACCUGAAGAAGAAGCUGCGGCUAACUACGUACCAGCAGCCGCGGUAAUACGUAGGCAGCGAGCGUUGUUCGGAGUUACUGGGCGUAAAGCGUGCGUAGGCGGUUUUGUAAGUUUGGUGUGAAAUCUCCCGGCUCAACUGGGAGGGUGCGCCGAAAACUGCAAGGCUGGAGUAUGGGAGAGGUAGGCGGAAUUCCUGGUGUAGCGGUGAAAUGCGUAGAUAUCAGGAGGAACACCUGUGGUGUAGACGGCUUACUGGACCAUGACUGACGCUGAGGCACGAAAGCGUGGGGAGCAAACAGG
rnacentral:rRNA from 1 species